AGUAAGAGCUGUCACAUGUUCACCACUAGAAGACCCUCAAAACCUCAACAUCUCCUGUGAAACUGUAGACUGUGG
rnacentral:lncRNA from 1 species